rnacentral:rRNA from 1 species
GACGUAGGGUGCAAGCGUUGUCCGGAUUUACUGGGCGUAAAGAGCGCGUAGGCGGUCUUGUAAGUGUGAAGUGAAAUCUCCAGGGCUCAACCCGGAAACUGCUUUGCAUACUGCGAGACUAGAGGGAUGCAGAGGUUUGUGGAAUUCCUGGUGUAGCGGUGAAAUGCGUUGAUAUCAGGAGGAACACCCAUGGCGAAGGCAGCAAACUGGGCAUCAUCUGACGCUGAGGCGCGAAAGCGUGGGUAGCAAACAGG